rnacentral:lncRNA from 1 species
AAAUAACACAACAUGUUAGCUACUCAUCCUUGAUAAUAACACCAUGGAAUUUAGCUACUCAUCCUUUAUGUACAUCAUAAAGGUGAAGUGAUUGAAUUAAUAUUGAGAAUAAGAAGAUUGAGUUUAAUACAAAAGAAGAAAAUGAACUUUGAUCUCUCAAGCAUUGACUUCUAAAACAUGAACUUCAACUCUAUAUGAAUUAACCUAAAUCCUAGCUAUUACUUCUCUUAUAUAGUAAAUACAAAGCAUAGUACUUGCAUACAAAGUUUUCCAAGUUAGGUCAAAUUCGUGGCUGCUGCUGUUGGUCUUCUAGAGGCAUUAGGACUUUAGCAAACCCUAAUUCUCUUGGGCUUAAGUUGUAGCUUGGACCAAGACCUUCAAUUGGACAGCUCAUGGGCCCAAAUCAGACUUCCGGAUCUUCAUGUAGAGUUUUUUUAAGAUUGGGCUUUAAUAAAGGCUUAAAUAGAAAUUCUGACUUGUGCGCCUCAUCAUAACUCGGAUUCGGCUGAGAUUUGGGCCACCCAACUUAGACAUAAAGUCAAGUCCAUAGGACCAGUCCGUGGGGUGCCCUCAGCAACUCUAUGGGUGCAAAUAUCAAUUCUCCUCCAUUGUGCAAAUAACAUCCUUUUGGUGGCUUUUUUUGUCUUUUGACGGGCUUUAACAUAAUAUUCGCAUUUCGACUCAUGAAACCUACACAAAUGACAAGAAAACACUAAUCAAUAGAUAUAACAUAAUAAUAUAAGCUAAGUGUUAUGCAAACAAGGUGCUAUUCGGGGGAUAAAUAUACACUUUUGAGGACUUAUCAAUUAGUCUGAAAUCAACAACCCACAUGUUAGUAAGACUGUAGAAAUUGCAGGUCUAGUUGGUCAUGGUAAUUGAGUUCAGUUGUGGACCUUCUAAAAAAUUCUCUCCAUCUCAGUUUUCAUUGUCAUUUUAUUUUUAUACGUAGUUUUUAUGACCUAUAGAUGUCUGAAUUUUCAUAGAUAUGUCAUUUCCUUGAGCUACUGAAAUCUGAAUCUUAUUAUGACAUCUGAUAUGUCCCAAAUAAAACAUGUCGAGUACGACAAAGUAUUAGACCAUCAAUUAGGAGUUAAGUAAAUUAAGAGGUAGUUCUGAUUUGUUGCAAACAAUACUCCUCAAAGUGUGUAUUGUUAAGAAAGUAGAAUGUGCAAAUACCCUGUUAAUAGCUUAGGUAUUUACAUGGUAUCACCAUUUAAAGUGAAUUUAUUUUGUGAUAUUUAAACUCUUACUGUUAGAUCUAAGCUACACAAGAGGAACUUGAUCCGCUAGUUUAUGUUUUCUCUCAAACAAAGAAUUAUAAAAACUUUUUAAGUCAGAUAAAAAAUCGCAAGAUGUUCACGUAAUUCAAGAAGCUAAACACAUUAGUGAAUACCAAUUUAUUUGAGAAAAUAAUCAGUACCUCGCAAAAAUGAAACUAUAUUGCAGAGGCUGCACAACUCUAAUUCGCCAACAAAAAUUGCUUGAGAGAGUUUUAUUCCUGCAAUAUAAGGAUUUGUGUGGAAAACUUAUCAAUCCACUAAUACUAAAAAGUUCAUGCAUCUUGAAGAGAUGUACGAAUCCCAAUAUGGGUUCUGACAGAUGGCCCCGAAGAAUUGAUUUACAUUCAUUAUAGGAUUUCCAAUAGGUUAUACAUGUGGUUGUGCUUUAAUUUGGGAAGUAUAAUGUUCUACCAUAGGAUAUACAUACCUGUGGUAUAACAUCGAAGAGUCGAAAAAAAUAGCUAAUAGUGCAUCAUCUCUGCUUUGAAUGGAUUUUCAGAAUUGGCAUAAUGCCUAUUACCAAUUUAAUUGUCCAAACCUGAAAAAGUAAAGAGAAGCUAAUGCUAAACCUUAUUCAUGCUUAUCAAGACAAAAAAAAAAAAAAAAUUAGACUUGUUUAUGCUAAACCUUAUUCAUCCUUCUAUGACACUGGCAGGCUUAUCAAGACUGAUGGUGAUAUCUCACAAUAGGUUCGACGUUUGUAAUCGUAACAUUUUCAAUCAAUUUCAUGUACAACAUUUCCUAAAAAACAUUUAUGUGCAGGUGUAGAAGACAGAGAGAUUAUGCAUCAGUGUGUAGAUGACAAAGAGAUUAUUAUAACGGGAGAUGAGGAUGGGUAUGGAACAUGGAACUUAAAGCAGGAUGUAUGCAAAUUAAUGGAUAACCCGAAUAACUUACAAAUACAUUAGCUAGUUCACCUGUUAAUUCAUUGACUAUAGUUCGAUUAACUUGAUAACUAUAAAGUCUCAAAACAAAGUUCAUUUACGAAUUGGGUAUGUAAAUUCCAAAGUAAAUAGUAUGUUCAAUAGUAAAUUGAAUUCAAGUAUAUAACUUCACCUUAUUAUUACCAAGCCCUUGUUAUUGGUAAACUGAUUAUUAUGUAAGAAAUUCAGAGAUUGAUUUAAAAAUGGGUAAAGAUAAAAGGUACCUCAUGUAAGAAAUUUAGAAAAUGAUAUCUUACUUUAUGACUGUAUUUCUUUGUACAUUUCAAUUGACAAAAAUACAAAAUAAGACGAUGACUAUAUUUUUCAAUAAGGGUAGACUAUGACUGUAUAUGAAAGAAAUUAAACUAAUUUACUCAAAUGAAGCAUGUCAAAUCUAACCCAGAGUAUUGAAUGUGAACAAUAGUCUUCAGCAAUUAAUAUUUUUCCUUUAUAAAUCUAUUAUAUUCGCGAGGAUCUAGAAUUUUAAUUCACCAUAAAGUUUAAGGUUUUUAAGAUUUGCAGAAUAAGAUUGAACAAAAAAAAAAGAUGGAAUUACAAAGACAAUAUCUAACCAGGAGAAUUCUAUAAAAUCAAAAGCUUAAUUGAUUAACAAAUCAGAAGCUUUAUUUCAAUUAGAAGCUUACCUGAUUGAAAUAAAAUCCUGAAAACCGUGUAGUGAUGAUGGAUAUGUUAUGAUCUAUAGUUCAGAGCUUUAUUUCAAUCAGAAGCUUACGUUGCUAAAGUCAAGAUUUCAAGAAAUCCAGGGUAUAAAAUCCAGUAUUCUUGCAAUCAGAAGCAUGAAUAGAGUUCUCUCUAUUUCCUUCAUUGAUCACAAUAAGUUUAUUUGAGAGAGAUUCGCAGUGAGAAUUGGAGAGAGGAAUUAAGGUUGGGUUAAAGUAAAGGAUUCGGAGAGAAAGGGUUUAUGAGCCUAUCAGGGAAGUAAUUGAGUCCAAGACCACUUAAACCCGCAGGACCAUCUGCUUAAGUUCUCUGGUCUAAUCUCUGCCGUCCAUCUCAAAUAGAACACCUUCAAACGAUUUGAAAUAUCCAACUUAAAAUAUAACAAAAUCCGACGAUAAAAAAUAUCUCAUUUGUCAAAACUGUCUCGUGAACAUAAUGUACAUCG